GGUUAAGCAUCUGGUGUUUCCAUGAGCUGUGGUAUAGGUUGCAGAUGCGGCUUGGAUCUGGUGUUGCUAUUGCUGUGGCUGUGGUGUAGGCUGGCAGCUGCCAUUCCAAUUUGACCCCUACCCUGGGAACUUCCAUAUGCUGCAGGUGCUGCCCUAAAAAACAAACCAAACCAAAACAACAGCAACCAAAAAAAUGAAUACAGAUCCCUUACACCCUGUGGUUGAUUGAUCAUACAUACCAGAGAGUAAGUACUUCAGUAUUGGUAGGGGUCACAGCAGGGCAGAGAGUUGAUUUAAGGAAUGGAUCUUAUGACUUAGGUGCUGUGAGCCCCCAAUAUAUGUGUGUAUACACAGAGGUUCACAUACACACAGAGGUACCUUUUGCUGAAUUAUUUGACACUUUUAAAGUCUAAUUAGUUGUUUUCAGAGUAGCUAGACAAAAGAAAAGUUUCAUAUGGUAUCUCAACCAGUGAAUAAAAAGGUUUAUAACUCUCAUGUUGCUAGAACCUUUGCAUUCACGGAGUAUACAUAAAUUAUUGAGGAUAAAAAUAUUUUAAAUGUGUGCAGUGGCGUCAAGGGAGACAGUAUCGCUUCUGCCUACAGCAGAACCUUGAACAAUGUGGGGGUGAGGGGUGCCAACCCUCCAUGUAGUCAGAAAAUCGAAGUAUAACUUAUAGUUGGUCCUCCUUAUAUGAGGUUGCUCCUGAUUCAAGCAACUGGGGAUUGUGUAGUACUGUGGCAUUUACUAUUGAAAAAAAAAAAAAAUCCAUGUAUAAGGGGAACUGUGCAGUUCCAACUAGUGUUGCUCAAGGUCGACUGAACUUUUCGUAAAAUGGCAAAGUCAUGAGUAGCAUAAUUUUCUGGUAUUUCAAUGGUAUUGUGUUUGAGAAAAAGAUCACUGCUCCAAACGCCUUCACGAUUAAAUAAAAUACUGCACAAGGGAAUCUGCUUCUGAGAGAACGUUAGCACAGGCAGGACCAGAGACAAUUGAGAAAAGCCUUCACCAAAGAAAAACAUAUGUAAAACAAGGGGUAUUGGUUCCAAGCACACGGAGUUCCCGUCAUGGCGCAGUGGUUAACGAAUCCGACUAGGAACCAUGAGGUUGCGGGUUCGAUCCCUGGCCUUGCUCAGUGGGUUAACGAUCCGGCGUUGCCGUGAGCUGUGGAGUAGGUUGCAGACGCGGCUCAGAUCCCGCGUUGCUGUGGAUCCCUGGCCUUGCUCAGUGGGUUAAGGAUCCGGCGUUGCCGUGAGCUGUGGAGUAGGUUGCAGACGCGGCUCAGAUCCCGCGUUGCUGUGGCUCUGGUGUAGGCCGGUGGCUACAGCUCCGAUUCAACCCCUAGCCUGGGAAUCUCCAUAUGCCGCAGGAGCGGCCCAAGAAAUAGC
rnacentral:lncRNA from 1 species